CUUGGAUUCUAAUCAAAUUGCCUAUUUGGGGCACAACAUACUGGGAAGCUUUUCAGUUGCUGACCUGAAGUCAAGAUGGGAAAUGAGCAGUCAACUCAGAGGAAACGGCAAAAGGCAAAUGCUGUUGAGAAAAAGGUCCAAAAUGGAGAAAUGAAUGGACAUGCAGUCCCACCUCCAGACUUACCUGAACCUGUGGCUAGCAAAGAAGUAGUGCAAAAAAAGUGUGAAAUUCCACCAGUGACUGACAUAAAAGACCCAAAACCAUCACCAAGUAAAG